AAAGUCGUAACAAGGUCUCCGUUGGUGAACCAGCGGAGGGAUCAUUACCGAGUUUACAACUCCCAAACCCCUGUGAACAUACCUAUACGUUGCCUCGGCGGAUCAGCCCGCGCCCCGUAAAAAGGGACGGCCCGCCCGAGGACCCCUAAACUCUGUUUUUAGUGGAACUUCUGAGUAAAACAAACAAAUAAAUCAAAACUUUCAACAACGGAUCUCUUGGUUCUGGCAUCGAUGAAGAACGCAGCAAAAUGCGAUAAGUAAUGUGAAUUGCAGAAUUCAGUGAAUCAUCGAAUCUUUGAACGCACAUUGCGCCCGCCAGUAUUCUGGCGGGCAUGCCUGUUCGAGCGUCAUUUCAACCCUCAAGCUCAGCUUGGUGUUGGGACUCGCGGUAACCCGCGUUCCCCAAAUCGAUUGGCGGUCACGUCGAGCUUCCAUAGCGUAGUAAUCAUACACCUCGUUACUGGUAAUCGUCGCGGCCACGCCGUAAAACCCCAACUUCUGAAUGUUGACCUCGGAUCAGGUAGGAAUACCCGCUGAACUUAAGCAUAUCAAUAA
rnacentral:rRNA from 1 species